AAGUCCAAAAUAAAAUCAAAUAUGAUAAAAAUUAUUUAAAAUUUAUACUUUAUAUAGAAAAGUAAAGAAUUGAAGAGGUGUGGAAGAAAAAUUGAUUGAGUUUAGAUAUCAUUUUUAUUUUCUUUGAUUCCCAUUUUCCUUCGUAUUUUCUUUUCGUUCUACUUUCCCUCAUAAUCUAUGUUCCUAAUAGAGCGAGCCUAAAGGCAAAUUGUGUUAAGAAUUUGAAGGGGUAUGGAGGAAAAAUUUAUUGAGUUUAGAUAUCAUUUUUAUUUUCAUUUACUUUUUCUUAGAUUCUCAUUUUCCUUCUUAUUUUCUUUCCCUCCUACUUUCCCUCACAAUCUAUGUUCCAAAUAGAGCCUAAAGGCAAAUUGUGUUUUUGACCUUAGUCCAUUCUUUUUUGGCUCGCAUUUUUCCUUUGUAUAUUGAAUAUCGAUCUUUUUUUUUCCUAAACCAUGAGAGGAUUGGUUGAAAUCUGCUGCUGAAAGAUGUAGGGAUGGCGACAAGGAGAAGAAGAUUAAGCAUUGACCUAUGUGGUGAUCUAAAAGAAAAUCCUUAUCAGGGAUUAUGCAAUUGGUGCAAGAUUCUGCUCCGGGAAAAUGCCACUGAUCUUGAGAGCCUGGAUUUUAAAUUUAAGCAUAAUUGGGAAUUUCUUCUCCUUCUUGUCUUUCAUUUUUCCCUUGCCCCCUGAAAAUGAUAUUUGUGCUUUUAUGAUGAUGAAUUGGUUACUCUUGCUAUAAACUCCUUUCAAAUUUGAGAA